rnacentral:lncRNA from 1 species
GAUUAAUCUUGCCUGCCUCUUCCUACCUCCCAGGGCCUGGGUGCCAGUGAACAGAGGGAAGAACCUGGCCCCGGGAAGGCAGCCCAGAAGACCAGGAUGUCAGCCCCUAGAGAUGAUAAGCUAGGCUGGAGCAGAGAGGGGAAGCCUCUCUGAAGACCAGUCACGUAAGCCAGAGAUGGUCAGAGACUGGGAGGCUCUGGGCCUGUGGGAAGAGGCUGCAAGCCAGCCCAGGACUCUUGGCAGGUUUCCUGGCAGGCUGAGAAGCACGCCAUCUGGAAGGAGAGACAGCCCCCAGCCACCAGGGGCCUUGGGUACCGGCACAGGAGGCAGGGAAGAGACCAGCCUACUGCCAUGUGAAGGAGGGCACCCUUUCUCUGCAUGGAGAUGUCUGGAGAUGGUGCCUGGGAGCUAGGGAUGGUCAGAGAUUUGGGGAAAGAGAGGGCUUCUGCCACAUCCAGGAGGGUUAGCUCACAGCCCACUUUAAACUCCAGCCCAGAAACUCUCUGGAGUUGUCUCCGUCUUAGGCCCAGCCAGCAACACAGAUCUGCAUGGGGGAUUUUAUCAUGGGGUGUCAUCUUUCUCAAAGAGCUCAACUCCAGGGCCUUCUGGGUUUCUAGGACUAUUUAGAGAGGACCCCUUCCCUCCUCUGAACGUGUUUGUCCAGCCUCAAAACCUCCGCAUGGAGCUAAAGGCUGGGGCUUCCAUUCAGGGUUCCCCACCCCUCUCCUCUGCUCCAGCCCUCUCCUCCCUCCUGUCACCUGGCCUCUGCUUUCAUUCCCUUCCUCAGCCCAUUCUAAUCUGCAGGCUCUCCUAAGCCAAGUUUGGUUUCUCAUUCCAAGUAUACCCUAACUCCCUAAGCAACAGUAAAGAUAUGCCCAUCUGCUCUCAGUUACCUGUGCCGAGAUGGGAGGCAGUAGUCAGGACUCACACCAAAACCAUAGGCCUUGCUCUCUGGAAUGUGUUGGCAAUGGUUUUAUAAUCUCCAUUCACAGCUGCCUUUGUUAGGUCACUAUUAAAAUGAACUUCAUUCUGCGAGCACGGCCCUGGUAUGAGGUAGGUGUUUUGUGGGGAUACAUGGGGGCCAAGUGGCACACCCUCGAACUGAGUACCCUGUCACACGUGGGUCAUGGAGCCAGCUCUACCCAGCUGUGUUCUUCCUCAGGUCUAGUUUUCCUGGGGAGGAACAAAUAGCACCAACAGACCCAGGAUCCAGUUGGAUGCAGAAAUUGUCUCUUGAAAGUGAGCAGUAUACUCAGACCAUCUGCUGAGAAGAGAGGUGAGAAAAUAAAUCCCCUUGGACUUAGACACAAGAAAGAGCAGCGAACAUGUUUGGAGCAGACGGCUCGGGAUCUCAGUCACAUGGCAGCUUCCCUCAGCUGAGUGCACAGAGCCUGCUAACUCGUGUCAUAGAAUGAACCCAGUAGUAUCUGCACCCUGGGUCACCCCCUACCUCGGGCCCCCACCUGUCACAUCUGGGUCUCCGCCCCAGCCUCUCUGCUCCCUGUCUCACCUUCAAUUCAGUCUCUGUUCCACUCUCACGGUGAGCAUUCCAAAAGGCAGAUCCCACCUUUCCAGGGUACCUUUCUAAGGCUCUAGUUUCUUCCAGAUAAGAUAUAAACUCUCCAGUCAUCUGGUGCCAGGGCCCCUCAGGCAUUCCCUCCAGCCAUUCUGAAGAAAGUUCAUCCCCCCAAACACUCAUCCCUGUCCACACUGCUCCUUCCCUGCCCCCUGCCUGGCUAAUUCCUUCUCACCCUUUCAGAUUCCCCAGGCAACCUUCCCUCCCCGCUCUUGAGUUUAGGCUCACUUCCACCCCUCAGGACUCACUGAAAGCCCCACGAGGGCCACUUCAUAGCUCUCACACUCUCUUCAUCUGCCUCUCCCUCUGCAGGGUGAGCUCCAUGAGGGCAGGGGCUGUGUCCUGUUCUCAGCUGAUCUCCAGAAUCCGAGUCCCCAGAAUCCAGUGUAGGAACUCCUGGGAAAAGCUCAAUAGUUCAUUUGCUUUCUUAUCCUCAUCACCAAAGCACGCAGAAGACUCACUGGGCCAAAGUAACCAUAGCAGCCCAUGGGAGAGUUGGUACAGCAAGUGCUUAAGCUGUGGGGCUCUAGACCCUGGGCUUGAAGCCUGACCCUGCUGCCCUUCAGCCACGUGACUGUGGCCAAGUUACUUAAGCCAAUAUUAGUACCUACUACAAUGGGUUGGUAAUGCAUGGAUUAAGUGAAUUAAUGUAUGUAAAUUGCUGAGAACAGGGUCUGACACACAGGAAGUGCCAUGCACGUGUUUGCUAAUAUUGUUAGCAGGAUGCUAACCCUUUGAGGGCAGGGACUGUGCUCUUCAUUCCCAGAUGUACACACAGUUCCUAGCAUAUAGUAGCAAAAUUGUCUACUGGAAAGCUUGGGAGGGAAACAAAAUUGGAUUCAUAUCCUGGCUGUGUGCUAUUGGGUAGGCUACGUGUUAACAGUGAAGCUGUCUCAUUAUCUGAAAAGCGUGCAGGUUGAUGUGAGGUUGAUAUGGUUUAAAUAUUUGUCCCCUCCAAAUUUCAUGUUGAAAUGUAAUCCUUAAUGUUAGAUGGGGCCUGGGGGGAGGUAUCAUGGCCUUUGGGUCAUGGGGGCAGAUCCCCCAUGAGUGGCUCCAUGCUGUCCCCAUGAUAAUGAGUGAGUUCUUGGUCUGAGUUCACAUGAGAUCUAGUUGUAUUAGUCCGUUUUCACACUGCUCUAAAGAUACUACCUGAGACUGGAUAAUUUAUAAGGAAAAGAGGUUUAAUUGACUCACAGUUCCACAUGGCUGGGAAGGCCUCAGGAAACUUACAAUCAUGGCAGAAGGGGAAGGAGAAACAAGCACCUUCUUCACAAGGCGGCGGGGGGUGGAAUGCCAAACACUUUAAAACGAUCAGAUCUCCUGAGAACUCACUCACUAUCACAAGAACGGCAUGGGGGAAAUUGCCCCCAUGAUCCAAUCACCUCCCGUCAGGUCCCUCCCUCAACACAUGGGGGUAACAAUUCAGAUUACAGUUCGAGAUGAGAUUUGGGUGGGGACACAGCCAAACCAUGUCACUGGUUGUUUAAAAGUGUGUGUGUGGCAUGUUGCCCCCACUUCUUGCACCCUCUCUCACCAUGUGAUGUGCCUUCUCCCACUUCCUCUUCUGCUAUGAGUAAAAGCUCCCUGAGGCCUCACCAGAAGCUGAGCAGAUGCUGGCACCAUGCUCCCUGUACAGCCUGCAGAACCAUGAGCCAAUUAAAUUUCUUUUCUUUAUAAAUUACUCAGCCUCAGGUAUUCCUUUAUAGCGACACAAAAUGGACUAAUGUAGAGGUUUAGAAUGCUGUUUGUAAAGCCCUAAUUAGCACAGUGCCUGGCCCCUAGUGAACACUGGAUAAAUGGUGGCUGUAAUCUUCAUUAGUAUUGCAGAAUGAAUGAGGUGACAGUGAGCAGCAGACCUCUGGGGCUGGAUUUACUGAUUACAUGAGUAAAUCUUCAGGAAAACUGCACUCCCAUGGGCAGGUCCAACUACAUAAAAUUUGGAGACUGGUACAAAAUGAAAAUGUGGGACCCUGUUGUCUAAAAACUAUUCAGAAUCCCAAGUCAGCAACACCAGAGCAUUAAACCAAGCCCAGAGCUUCCUCUGUUCACAGGUCAUGAACUCAUGAGGUCAGCCUGCCCGUGGGACCUUCCCAGCAAUAGUUUCAGUGGGAUAGGCUGAGGCCCUCUCAUUUUGCAGGCCAGAGUCCCAGCCCAGAGCAUUCAGGUGUCUCACAUCACUUUUCUUCUGGCUCACUCAGCAGGGUGAGGCUAGGAACUCUUGGUGCCAAGUCUAGUGUCCCAGUGUCCCCAGUGACUAUCAGUCCCCAGUGGCAGCCCCAGCACUCCCUCCUGCUUGGCUGAGAACCCAGAUCACAGAAAGGGGAUGAUUUAUCUUUAAGUUUGGAUUUAAAAUUUUAAAUGGUACUGAAGUCAAUCGAAUGACUGGCCCCAAAUCUGUACUCCCCUCUUACAGUAUUAGCCAUCCAUGCUUGGCAUGGCUUUAGGGUGAGCAGGGUGCACCUUACCACAUCUUGCCUCUUGGCUUGCCUGUGUUACUUACUUAGGCCAAUGGGAGUGGUUGGGCUUGCCAUCUUGUAUGCCUGUCUUUCACCAUGGAAAGAACAUGCCCUGGGUGUCCACCACCACAAAGAGGAUGAGAGAUGCAUGGACUUGUACCCAACCCACAGUCUACACUCAAGCCCAGCUAAACUGGAGCAGCCGAACCCAGCCAACCUGCAGACAGAGGAGUCAGAAAUAAAUGCUUUAUUGUUUUAGGUUGCUAAGUUUUCAGUAGUUUGUUAAGCAAAAUUACUAUGGCAAUAGCUGGCUGAUAAGUGUCUUAUAACCCAAAGGAUCUAUGACUCACUGGGUGCAGUGGCUCACACCUGUAAUCUCAGCACUUUGGGAGGCUGAGGCAGGAGGAUCGCGUGAACUCAGAAGUUCGCGACCAGCCUGGGCAACAUGGUGAGAUCCCAUCUCUACAAAAAAUAAAAAAGCCAAGUGUGAUGAUGCGCACUGGUAUCCCAGGUACUCAGGUGGCUGAGGCAGGAGGAUUGCUUGAGCCCAGGAGGUCAAGGCCGUGGUGAGCCAUGAUUGCACCACUGCUCUCUAGCCUGGGGGAAAGAGAAAGGCCCUGUCUCAAAAACCAACAACAACAAACUAUGACUCAAUUGACUCCCUCUGAAGCUAAGGAGACUUUUUGUCUCAUAUGCAUUUUCAUGGCUUUUCUGGAGACACCCUAAAGCUGGAGGUCUCAUGCCAUCAGAUCCCUUGAUGUAAAUGAAAGCAUAUCCAUUGGAUUUAUUCUUCACUCUUUCCCCAGCCUCUUAGGCAUCAGCAAUUACUCCAGCUCCCUGCAGCUGAGAUCUGUUUGCCCCUCCAGGGGACCCCCUUGGACAGGACCUAAGAUGAAACCACACUGACCUUCUCUCACACAGAGCCCAAGGUUCCACAUCAUUUGACCUGGCGGACCCCUGGAGUACAGGCCGAUCCCGGUGCAGCAAAAACUUGUGCUUCAAGGAGACUCAGACCCUGGUCAAAUGUGUCCCCCAAACUGCAGGGAAACCAUAUUGAACUUUCCGGAUGAUCUGUUUCAAAUUUUUCCAUCUUGACUUGAGGAGAAGAAGGAUGUACUUCCCAUGCCUUAUCAUAUAGGAAAAUAGAACC